rnacentral:rRNA from 1 species
AUUGAACGCUGGCGGCAUGCCUUACACAUGCAAGCCGAACGGCAGCACGGGAGCAAUCCUGGUGGCGAGUGGCGAACGGGUGAGUAAAGUAUCGGAACGUGCCCAGUCGUGGGGGAUAACGUAGCGAAAGUUACGCUAAUACCGCAUACGAUCUAUGGAUGAAAGCGGGGGAUCGCAAGACCUCGCGCGAUUGGAGCGGCCGAUAUCAGAUUAGGUAGUUGGUGGGGUAAAGGCUCACCAAGCCGACGAUCUGUAGCUGGUCUGAGAGGACGACCAGCCACACUGGGACUGAGACACGGCCCAGACUCCGACGGGAGGCAGCAGGGGGGAAUUUUGGACAAUGGGCGAAAGCCUGAUCCAGCCAUGCCGAGUGCAGGAUGAAGGCCUUCGGGUUGUAAACUGCUUUUGUACGGAACGAAAAGGUUUGGCCUAAUAAGCUGAGCUCAUGACGGUACCGUAAGAAUAAGCACCGGCUAACUACGUGCCAGCCGCCGCCGUAA